rnacentral:rRNA from 1 species
AUUGAACGCUGGCGGCAGGCCUAACACAUGCAAGUCGAACGGUAACAGGAGGAAGCUUGCUUCUUUGCUGACGAGUGGCGGACGGGUUAGUAAUGUCUGGGAAACUUCCUGAUGGAGGGGGAUAACUACUGGAAACGGUAGCUAAUACCGCAUAACGUCGCAAGACCAAAGAGGGUGACCUUCGGGGCUCUUGCCAUCGGAUGGGCCCAGAUGGGAUUAGCUAGUAGGUGGGGUAACGGCCCACCUAGGCGACGAUCCCUAACUGGUCUGAGAGGAUGACCAGCCACACUGGAACUGAGACACGGUCCAGACUCCUACGGGAGGCAGCAGUGGGGAAUAUUGCACAAUGGGCGAAAGCCUGAUGCAGCCAUGCCGCGUGUAUGAAGAAGGCCUUCGGGUUGUAAAGUACUUUCAGCGGGGAGGAAGGGAGUAAAGUUAAUACCUUGGCUCAUUGACGUUACCCGCAGAAGAAGCACCGGCUAACUCCGUG